UCUUCACCAAACGCAAAUUUUAACACUCACAUAAAAGCAUUUUCGAUGGAGGUGCCGUGGUCUACGGACUUAUGUGUGCCCAUGAGAACGAAAACCGUCAGCUGAGUGGAGAACGGACUCCAGCGAUGGAUCUUGGGUGCGGUUCCUCUCUUGUUCACCAUGAGGGGGAGCGCAAUGAUCCGCCGUACAU
rnacentral:sRNA from 1 species